GUCGUAACAAGGUUUCCGUAGGUGAACCUGCGGAAGGAUCAUUACCACACCGAUCCAAACGAUCACUCUCUCCUGUGAACUUGUGUUGGUUACCAACUCUUUUUCUUAUGUUUUUUUCUUCUUUUCGCUUUCUCCUUUUUCUUCUCGAGGGGUUCUCUUCUGUUCACUCUGUCUUCUGGUUUCUGGAAGUCUUAGAGUGUUGGAAAGGGGUUCUGAGGGAAGAGUGGGGGGAAGACGGAGGAGGAAAAAAACAAAAAAGAUUACACUCCAAAACAAUCGAAACCCAAUGUUAUUCUGAAACUGAAGGGAUACGAAAGGGCCUUUGCGCUCUUUUUUGUUCCGCAUCAAUCUUUGAAUGAUGAAAACAACUUUCAGCGAUGGAUAUCUUGGCUCUC
rnacentral:misc_RNA from 1 species